rnacentral:rRNA from 1 species
GCUUUGCUUCCUUGAGACCGGCGCACGGGUGCGUAACGCGUAUGCAACCUACCUUUUUACAGAGGGAUAGCCCAGAGAAAUUUGGAUUAAUACCUCAUGGUAUAUAUCAUUCGCAUGUUUGAUAUAUUAAAGUUCCAACGGUAAAAGAUGGGCAUGCGUCCUAUUAGCUAGAUGGUAAGGUAACGGCUUACCAUGGCAACGAUAGGUAGGGGUCCUGAGAGGGAGAUCCCCCACACUGGUACUGAGACACGGACCAGACUCCUACGGGAGGCAGCAGUGAGGAAUAUUGGACAAUGGGCGCAAGCCUGAUCCAGCCAUGCCGCGUGCAGGAAGAAGCAUCUAUGGUGUGUAAACUGCUUUUGUACGGGAAGAAACACUCCUUCGUGAAGGAGCUUGACGGUACGGUAAGA